CCUACGGGUGGCAGCAGUGAGGAAUAUUGGUCAAUGGACGCAAGUCUGAACCAGCCAUGCCGCGUGAAGGAAGACGGCUCUAUGAGUUGUAAACUGCUUUUGUACGAGGGUAAACGCAGAUACGUGUAUCUGUCUGAAAGUAUCGUACGAAUAAGGAUCGGCUAACUCCGUGCCAGCAGCCGCGGUAAUACGGAGGAUUCAAGCGUUAUCCGGAUUUAUUGGGUUUAAAGGGUGCGUAGGCGGUAGGAUAAGUUAGAGGUGAAAUCCCGAGGCUCAACUUCGGAAUUGCCUCUGAUACUGGUAGGCUAGAGAGUAGUUGAGGUAGGCGGAAUGUAUGGUGUAGCGGUGAAAUGCUUAGAGAUCAUACAGAACACCGAUUGCGAAGGCAGCUUACCAAGCUACUUCUGACGUUGAGGCACGAAAGUGUGGGGAGCAAACAGGAUUAGAUACCCGGGUAGUC
rnacentral:rRNA from 1 species